GCAUCCCCAGUUUGCUUCUAGAGGAGGAAGGGGAAGAGGGUUUUCUUGUUGCUGCUAUUCCUCGUGGAUAUUCAAGAGGCAACUUGGCACCUAAUGUCAGCAACGAGCUUAUCGGUGACGAGGGAAAUGAAAGAAGGCUGCAAUGGAAUUUGUACUAGAUCAGAUUUUGGCCAUAUAAUUUCCGGUGACUGGAAGUCUAAAACUGAAGAUAGGGCAGAUUGUUUUGAUUCCAAUUACUUGGAGAUCUUGUGGCGUGCUGUCCCUGGAUCAGUCAGACCUACGGCAACAUCAACUCGUUGAUCCUAGAGGCCAUGGUUCUCGA